GUUUCUCGAAAAGGACCUCCAUAUCUUAUCUCAAAUUUUACCUAGAACAUGGUGGAACCUCCAUUUUAUAGCACCAAUCGUUGCUUGGAGCCUCCUUAUCAUCUGAUGAGGAGACUUUUCCCCGACACCAACAGGAUAAAUAGUCAGCAAUGGGGAAUAAGCUGAGGACUAAAGUUUGAAGGAAUCAAAAAAAUUAGAGAUAUCAAGAGAAAUAAAAAGGC
rnacentral:lncRNA from 1 species